rnacentral:rRNA from 1 species
GACGAACGCUGGCGGCGUGCUUAACACAUGCAAGUCGAACGGAAAGGCCCUGCUUUUGUGGGGUGCUCGAGUGGCGAACGGGUGAGUAACACGUGAGUAACCUGCCCUUGACUUUGGGAUAACUUCAGGAAACUGGGGCUAAUACCGGAUAGGAGCUCCUGCUGCAUGGUGGGGGUUGGAAAGUUUCGGCGGUUGGGGAUGGACUCGCGUCUUAUCAGCUUGUUGGUGGGGUAGUGGCUUACCAAGGCUUUGACGGGUAGCCGGCCUGAGAGGGUGACCGGCCACAUUGGGACUGAGAUACGGCCCAGACUCCUACGGGAGGCAGCAGUGGGGAAUAUUGCACAAUGGGCGGAAGCCUGAUGCAGCAACGCCGCGUGCGGGAUGACGGCCUUCGGGUUGUAAACCGCUUUCGCCUGUGACGAAGCGUGAGUGACGGUAAUGGGUAAAGAAGCACCGGCUAACCACGUG